GUGUAUGUGUGUGUGUGUGUGUAAUUGUCCCUACACAGUCAUCACAUGCAGAUCCUGUUUGUGUGUAGGGCGCUGCAUUCAGGGUGUCAUCACAGAUCAGGACGAGUUGCAGGGUUUAAAUGUCAAGGAAUUAAAGGCUGUCCUGGUUGAGCAGCAGCAGCGCACCAAUUGGUGCGCAGGUGAGCUCGUGGUGCUUCUAGUGCAACUCCCUGCUCAAACGCAGGAGAAAUAAGUCUGUAGAGGGAGGCCGUUUUGUUCUCAGAUCAACUUCUCCAAUGCACUGUAGACCCAAUGACCCUGUUCUCAUUCUCGCCCUCACCCCUCCCCCUCUAACUGCCACCCGGCCCUGUGGGGCUGGAGCGUGUUCCUCAGAGCAAACACGGGGCUGCGAGCGCGUCUAAAUGAGCCAUUCUGUGAUGACUGAUGCGAGUCUGAGGCCCAACUUAAAGCUCUUAGUUUAAACUGUCUGAGGUGACGCGUUAAACAAUAAAAUGUGUUGUGAUUUCCAGAUGGGUUCAGCGUAGAUCCUGCUGUUGCAACAGGAUGUUUGUGGCCGUCGAGAGAAUGUUAGGGUUGAUGUACAGUAGUUUAAUUGUUAAAAGGUACUUUUUUUUUUCUCCCAGAUUGACUGGUGAUUUACUUUUUUUUUUUUUUUCUUUUUUUUUUUUUACAAGACGUCUCCCCCUUCCCCCACUUCCUUCCUAAAGGUUUGAAAACAGGGUUUCCUGAGGCAUGCUAGCCAGUGACCUCUGACCUUUUUUGUGAUUAGAGGUGGGGGGAAUGCAAAGAGAGCCACGCCAGUACGGGGUGCCAGACUCCCCUCAAGCCUCUGCUCUCCUCUAUUUUUGCUUUAAUUCUUUUUUUUUUUAUGCAGAACCAAAAUGUAAAACGUCAGCAAACUAGGUUUCAGGCCUAACCUGUGUGUAUGUAUAUACCCUGGAUACAAUCAUCGGGAUCUUGUUUUUCAAAGCAAAACAACUUAAUUGAAGAUGAACGUAGUUUCUAAAAAACAUGUAUUAUUAUUUGUAAGUUAACCAUCUGCAUGUCUUCGAGCCUUCUGGCAUUAGCUAAUAAUUUUUAAGAUAAAAAAAAAAAAAAAAAUACAAAAAAAAAAAACUUUUUACACAUUUUAUUUUUUACAAUUUAUUUGCUUACCUAAAUAUCCCAGACAAUAAUGUGACCCUUUUAUUACUUCAAAUUUAUUUUUGUUUUCCAUUUUCUUUUUCUUUUUUUUAAUUUUCCUUAUUUCCUGUGUACUACAUAUAGGCGAUUUAUAACAAAAUGAGAAAAUUAUUGAAGAAAUUUUAAAAUUGAAAUAUAUUUUAUUUGAAAGUUUAUGGACCUUUUAACCGUGAGCCAGGAAAAAUUGUAUAAUCGUAUAAUUUGAGCUGACUUGACGGUUAUGAGAAAUGUAUCAAGAGUUUUAUUUUUUAUGCUUCUUUAAUAAAGUCUUGUUUUGUUUUUGUUUUAUUUUUGUUUCAUUUUUUUACUGGAAAAUAAGAACUUGUCCGUGUGCUUGUGUCUUUAUUGUCAGAGUGGAACUGUGCACAAGACUGCAGCAGCUGC
ensembl:lncRNA